rnacentral:rRNA from 1 species
UACAGAGGGGGCAAGCGUUAUUCGGAAUUAUUGGGCGUAAAGGGCGCGUAGGCGGCCAAGCAAGUCAGGGGUGAAAUCCCUCGGCUCAACCGAGGAAUUGCCUCUGAAACUGCAUGGCUUGAGACCGGGAGAGGGUGGUGGAAUUCCCAGUGUAGCGGUGAAAUGCGUAGAUAUUGGGAGGAACACCGGUGGCGAAGGCGGCCACCUGGACCGGUUCUGACGCUGAGGCGCGAAAGUGUGGGGAGCAAACAGG